GACGAACGCUGGCGGCGUGCUUAACACAUGCAAGUCGAACGGAAAGGCCCUGCUUUUGUGGGGUGCUCGAGUGGCGAACGGGUGAGUAACACGUGAGUAACCUGCCCUUGACUUUGGGAUAACUUCAGGAAACUGGGGCUAAUACCGGAUAGGAGCUCCUGCUGCAUGGUGGGGGUUGGAAAGUUUCGGCGGUUGGGGAUGGACUCGCGGCUUAUCAGCUUGUUGGUGGGGUAGUGGCUUACCAAGGCUUUGACGGGUAGCCGGCCUGAGAGGGUGACCGGCCACAUUGGGACUGAGAUACGCCCCAGACUCGUACGGGAGGCAGCGGUGGGGAAUAUUGCACAAUGGGCGGAAGCCGGAUGCAGCAACGCCGCGUGCGGGAUGACGGCCUUCGGGUUGUAAACCGCUUUCGCCUGUGACGAAGCGUGAGUGACGGUAAUGGGUAAAGAAGCACCGGCUAACUACGUG
rnacentral:rRNA from 1 species